GACGAACGCUGGCGGCGUGCCUAAUACAUGCAAGUCGAACGAACCGCGACUAGGUGCUUGCACUUGGUCAAGGUGAGUGGCGAACGGGUGAGUAACACGUGGGUAACCUACCUCAUAGUGGGGGAUAACAGUCGGAAACGACUGCUAAUACCGCAUAGGACAUAGGAUCACAUGAUUCUGUGAGGAAAGGUGGCGCAAGCUAUCGCUAAGAGAUGGACCCGCGGUGCAUUAGCUAGUUGGUAGGGUAAAGGCCUGCCAAGGCGAUGAUGCAUAGCCGACCUGAGAGGGUGAUCGGCCACAUUGGGACUGAGACACGGCCCAAACUCCUACGGGAGGCAGCAGUAGGGAAUCUUCCGCAAUGGACGCAAGUCUGACGGAGCAACGCCGCGUGAGUGGAGAAGGUCUUCGGAUCGUAAAGCUCUGUUGUUAGAGAAGAACAGCGCAUAGAGUAACUGUUAUGCGUGUGACGGUAGCUAACCAGAAAGCCACGGCUAACUACGUG
rnacentral:rRNA from 1 species